CGAUUGAUGGAUUACUGCAAAACUAGAUUUUGGUGUGACAAGGUCAAAGGUCACAGGGCUCAUUAUGUAUGCAAAAAUAGCUAGAUUAAAAAAAUAACCGGUUGAUGGAUUACAACCAACUUCAAUUUUUAAAAUUUCUUCUGUUUUGGUUUGUAAAAUCUCUCUAUGGCGGAGGCAUCACUUCACCAGAGAAACACCAGUUUGAAGUCGGACAAAUAGAAUACCAGUUAAACAGGUAUUCUACUGGUCCUAUAGUUCAAACUUGUAUUUUCUACUGGUUUCCAACUGGUACCAGUUGAGACCAGUAAUCUACUGGUCCCAGUAACAACUGGUAUUCUAUUUGUCCGACUUCAAACUGGUGUUUCUACCGGUUUCCAAAUUGUAUCAACUGGUCUCAACUGGUACCAGUUGAGACCAGUUCUAAUCAGUAAAUACCAGUUGGAAAUCUUUACUGGUUUCAACUGGUAUAAACUAGAAUUUCGACCUUGGGGGUAACUGUUAAGGAGUAAAAAGAAAAAGAAUAUGAUACCCGUGUAAGGAACCUAUUAUUAUCCUACUUGGGGUUUUGUGUUUCCAUGUUUUGGUAAUUAAUAGUCUUCAUAAUUGCAUGCAGGCUCCUUGAUAAUCAUAGAAUAUAUUUGCUUUAAGAAAUGAUGGAAAUUUAGCCUGAUCAGUUGAUUGAAGAUAAGUUGAUUCUAUACUCCUCAUACCUGCACAAAGACUUGAUAUAGUAUUCAGCUCUUUCCAUUGGUCACUGUACUAUGUAGUAUGAUGAUUUAAAGGUAACAGUAUUCUUUAAUUUUCAGUUAUAUUUAAUUUAUACAAGUACUUCUUUUCUACGCUACCAAUAUUAGGUACAUUUCUGUCAUUUGGAAUGAUUUUUCACACUCAAUUUUAAGAUAUUUAUUGCAAGAAUGUACCAAUAAUGCCCUUGACUUUUAGGACAGUACCAGUGAUAUUUGAAUUAUUUGUGUUAGGAUAUUUAGUUAAUGAAAUCAUGGUAUGCUCUAUAUGAGGAAUAUUUGUGUUUCUUAGUGGUAUUCAAUAUAAAAAUAAAUAUUUUUAAAUAUGAUAUCAAUUUUCAUAUUUGUGUCCAUGGGUCACAGUGCAGUAGAACUUGUGUAAUGAAUUAAAUGUGUGGAAUGCUUUGAAAGCACAGGGUAA